CAGGGACAGAACCUGCAUCCUCAUGGUUACUAGGCAGAUUCUUUACCCCUGAGCCAUGAGGGCAACUCCUUGCCACUCUUCUCAAAGAUUUUCCCCCUCCUGAUCCCAUCUGAUCAGUGCUAAAAGGGGCUUGUGUGGUUACUGGUCCAUGUCCCCUCCCCUCUCUACCUUAUUCCAGACCUGUGCUCACAUACCUCCAAUGACAGGAAGCUCACCAUCUUCCAGGCAGGCCUCCUUCAUUUUAAAAACGUCCUGAAACUUCAAAAGCUCAUUCAAAGUUUAUGGCCAAAUCUGCCCUUUAAGAGUUCUACCCACAGAGAACAUACCUAAUCCCCUUUCCACUUUGAGGAAUCACAGAAUCAUAGAAUCAUAGAAUUUUUCAGGUUGGAGAGCCAUGGAGAGCUAAUCCCUUUGGGGACAGAUGGGGCAAACUGAAGCCUACUAAGGACAAAUGACUUCCUAUGACUUCAGUGGUCUUCCAAUUAGAUGGGCUCUGAAAUCAGACUGCCUGGGUCUCAGUCCCCAGCAUUGGCACUUACAAGCUGCCUGUCAUUAAAUGAAAUAAUCCAGGUAAAAUACUAAGAACAGUGCCAGUCUCAGGGUGAGCAUCCAAAAAGUGUUAGCAUUUAUUAUGAUUAUUGAUGUUAAUGUUAUAUCAAGGUCAUAAAUUCAUGUUUUGCCCCCCAAAUUCACUGAAGCCUCCUCUGAGUCUUGUUGACAGUUUCAGGGCCCUGAUCUCUGCCUUCAAGAGGCUCACAAUCUAGCAGAGGAGGAGCUGACUCGGUCCCUAGAUCUGGGGGUGGCAUUCCAACAAAGAUGGGCAGACUCUAAUGCCCCAGAGAAACUUUAAUUCCUUUGAUGGAAAUCUAAACACUCGAGACCCUUUCAAUCCCUAGCCCAGUGGAAUCCAUAGGGAAAAAUGUCACACCCAGGUUCCCAAAGACUAUUAGCACACCUUUCACUUGUCCACACGCUCACCUGCCCACCAGAUGGUAUUGCCCAGUGGUUAGCGUUUGGGAUUUGGAGGCAACUGAGUCCAAGCUCUUCAUCUUAUCAGCUUUGUACCUCUGGGCAAAUCACUUUCCCUCUGAAUUAAUCAUAGCCCUAACUUCAUGUGGAGCUGUUUCGAAAAUUAAAUGAGUAUGUGAAAAUACAUAUGCAAAUACCCAGUAAUGGAGCGAGCAUUAUUUUUUAAUUGCUCCCACAUGUAUUCGUGCACCCAAGAGAGAGCUGGCUGUGAAUGCCUUAAUUUAGCCUCAGCAAAAGGGGUUUCCCUCCCCCACCCCCAUGCCUCCUCUUCGGACUCUCGUCCUCAAUCGAAGAGGCGGGGCCAGGAGCAUCCCGCAGCGGCCAGACUGGGCUGUUCUAAGGAGCCCCGCAAGCCGGUCCGCCCCGCCUCGUUGAUCAGGGCGGGCACUUGGCUCCUCCCCUGUUAGGCAAGAGCAGCCUGUGGGUGACUCAGCAGCGACAACGCCUGCCCCGACCUGAUAAGUCCUCCUACAAUGAAGGGCCUAAAGCAACUGAAUACCCAGAGACCAGAGAGAGAAAAGGAUCGCAUCUGAGGGAUUAGGGAAGAUGGCCUUUAGAAGGGCUGCACCUGUGGCAUAUGGCUGGGGUCCAAUCAGAGCUACAGCUGCUGGCCUACACCACAGCCACAGCAAUGCAGGAUCCAAGCCGUGUCUUCGACCCACACAACAGCUCACAGCAAUCCUGGAUCCUUAAUCCACUGAGUGAGCCCAGGGAUGGAAUCCGCAUCCUUAUGGAUACUAGUCGCGUUUGCUACCACCGCGCCAAAAUAGGAACUCCUGGAUGGGUUUCCGAAGGACAGUUUCAUCUCCUCCAAGACAGGUCCUGAGGGGAGGGCCACACUUCCCACUCAGUGUGAGCCAACAGGUCUAUGUCACCCUCCAGACUGGGGGUCCCCUCAUGAGGGGACCACAGAGGAUGAGCGAAAGAAACAGUGAGAGAUGAGGACACUGAGAACAGAGCUCACUUUAUUGGGAAAAGAGAAAGUUGGGUCCUUGGUCUCAAAACAGGACCUGGAAGAGGCAAAAGCCAGGUGUUUGAAUCAAGCGUCAUUUGAACAUGCCCGCCUCCCUCACCUCCCAAGUGGGGCAGCUCCAGUUACAAGCACCAGCGGCCCCCGCCCCCCAACCCCAGGCUGUGUUACCAAUGGACAUCUGUUUCUGGGAUCAAGGAACGUGAGGGAAAUGUCUCCUUCUCUCCCAGCAUGGCAGUGCCCUCAGAACCCAUCAGCUCCUACCUCUAACCCUCCAUUGCACAGAGGCCCAGAAAGGGACAGAACCCUGCCCAGAGGCACACAGUCAGCAAGUGCAGGAUGGAGAGUCAAACCCGCAUUCCUGUCUCCUGGCUUGGGACUCAUUCCAAGAGAAGAUUCUAGAAGAUGGGCCCCAUCAAAUGGGUAUCACCUGCCCUGACACUCGCCAAGAGACUCCAUCCCCAUGACUCAUAGGUGCAAGCCAGAAGACGCAGGCCAGUGCCACCUGGGGACCUCCUAGGGUGGGCCCCUGGGAGGGCGGUGCUGCUGAGGACAAAAGGGACAGCUAUGGGGAAGGUGCUUGGGAAGAAGACAUCCUCUUGAAAUUUGCUUCUCUGAUGAGUGCAAUCCUACCUUCUGAAAUCCAAGAUGGUUAAAAAGCAAAGUCCUUCGCUCCUGACCCAUCUACAGCAUCCAGAGACGGCCAUCAGAGCAGCAAUAACCUAGAAUGUUAGAUAAUGUCAAAAAGCUCCAUUUGGAGUUCCUGCUGUGAUGCAAUGGGAUCAGCAGUGUCUCUGCAGCACCAGCAUGCGGUUCAAUCCCCAGCCUGGCAGUGGGUUAAAGCAGGUGUUGCCACAGCUGCAGCAGCGUAGGUCUGCAACUGCAGCUUGGAUCCAGUCCCUAGCCCGGGAAAUCCCUAUGCCGUAGAGUGGCCAAACACGGGAAAAAAAAGCUCCACUUGUCGAGCACUUAUAUGCACCAGGCACCUCAUUGAUCCACUUGGUGGAUUAACUGCCUUGUGCCAGUUGCAGCAUCAGUUGCUGGGAAAUUUGUGAGACUAAAACAGACAUGAUCCUUCACUCAUAGCUUCUUUGUAAGUCUUCACAACUUCUUGGUAGGCAUGGUCCCCCAUGAUUAAGGAAAUGGGCUCACAGAGUGAGGUGAUUUCCCAAGGUUACACAGCAAAGACAUGGCAAGCAGUCAAAAAAAUCACAGAACAAGCUGGCCUUCCAAGACACAGAGGGACUAGAUGGGAGAGGGACCUGCCAAAGUCACAGCAGUUUCUUGAGUGGCUGGCACCUGCCCCUGCUACAAAGGUGAUGAGAAACAGAGCUGGCAGGGAGCAUGCUCAGUCCACACCUGUGAGCUAGACACAGGAAUCCCCACAGUGCCCCCGCGUAAUCACAGAAUGUCCUCUUGGGAGCCAGGAGGAGGUAAGCAGAGGAAGUGAACUUGAUGGAACCAAGAUGGGAUUCUAGCUGGCCCAGCCAUGGACAAGCUGUGUGGCCUUGGGAAAAUCAUUCCCCUCUCUGAGCCUCAGUUUCCUCAUCUGUAAAAUAGGGGUAAUAAUAAUGCCUACUUCACAGUCAUGUGGUGAAGAUGAAAUGUUACCCCAUGUAAAGUGCCUGGAACCAGGAAGGGCCCUGUGUGCCAUCUGUAUUAUCUAUUAUAAUGACACUGGCCUCUCACUGAGAUCUGCAUCUGGGGAGGGCUCUGCACAGGUGGGGCUCAUGGCAAGUGGUGCUGAUGGAGCCAGAACCUUAGCAAGCCCCCAGCCCAGCUCGCCACUCUGUCAGGAAGUCCAUCCUGAAGACACCUCACCAGCCCCUCUCUGGCCCUCAUUUUGAAUUUCCAAGCUGCCUGACCCCAGGACCAGCCUGCUAUUCUAGUCCCUGCUCUCCCAACACCUGCAAGCUCAGAGUAGGGGGGCGGGGUCCAGGUCCUGACCCUCUGCCGUCACCCCCCUACACAUACCAGCUCCCAGCACUAGGUGCUCAGUGCCCAGAAAUGAAAUAAAGGAAGAAAUGAUGAUGAGUAAGUAAGUGAUGAGAAAAGGGGUGUGUGUGUGUGUUUAAGUGCUGGAGCCAGGAUCGGGGGGAAUCACUUCAUAGGGGUUUUAGAGCCUCAAAGGUGCUCCCUGCCUGGAUCUGCAGUGGUUGCAAGGCUGAGGAUCUGCAGCUGAUGACAGAGGGGCUGGUCUUCAGGCAGAGGCCCCGCAGGGGCCCAACCUGUGUUAUUGCUCCUCCAAGUUCUCUCAGGACAUAGUGACUCCACCUUGUGGAACAUUUCAAAUUCCACCUCAAGCAAACCUCUUUAGACAGCAGCCUCUGGCACCCCCAUUACUAUUGCAGAAUAACCUUAUAUCAGGGCCCCCUAUGUGCCAGGCAGAAUCUCUAGGCCUCAGAGAGGGUGCUUGGAAACAAAGUGACUUGCUUAAGAUCACAUUGCCAGUAAGUGGACAGGAAUCUAGCAAAAUCAGGAUACUCACUAGAAACUGAGCAUCAUAUUAGAGACUGACUCAUUCCCUCACCGUAAAUCUAGGAGGAAACAGGAGUUCCCAUUGUGGCUCAACCGAAACAAAUCUGACUAGUAUCCAUGAGGAUGCAGGUUCAAUUCCUGGCUUCGAUCAGUGGGUCAAGGAUCCAGUGUUGCCGUGAGCUGUGGUGUAGGUUGCAGAUGCAGCUUGGAUCUGGCAUUGCUGUGGCUGUGGCGAGAGCCAGCGACUGCAGCUCUGAUUCAACUCCUAGCCUGGGAACUUCCAUGUGCCAUGGUGUGGCCCUAAAAAAGACCAAAAGAAAAGAAAAAUCUAGGAGGAAACAGAAGCUCAGAGAGGGUAAAACCUUGCCAAGGUCACACACCCAACCAGUUAGCAUCAGAAGUGAGAGUUGAAUCCAUUGUUGGGGCUCCCCAGGCCAUGCAGAAAAGUGAACCUGAGGGCUCUGGUUUACUCCCAUCACCCUCCUGCCCUCCCCACCCAGCCUCUCUUACAUGACACUUGACAUUAUCCAUCACUCCCUCCCCCUGGGAACGCCCUCCUCCUCCAGUUUCCAUGGCAGCACAUUCUCCCCAUCCUCCUCUUGUUUCUCUGGCAGCUUCACAUCUCCAACAGUGGCUCCUGAGCCUACAAAGCAGGGGGGUCCCCAGGCUUGGUCCCACAUCUCGUCUCCCUCCAUCGCUACCUCCAAAAGCUCAUCUCCUUUUCCCUCUAGAUCUCUAACUAUCACUUUGCACUGCCGCUCCACUUUUAAGUAAUAAAAAGCUCUUACCAAGUUCCUGUUGUGGCUUAUCAGUAACGUAGCCGACUAGUACCCAAGAGGAUGUGGGUUCAAGCCCUGGCCUUGCUCAGUGGAUUAAGGAUCACUGGCAUUGCUGUGAGCUGUGAUGUAGGUUGCAGACAGGCCUCGGAUCUGGCAUUGCUGUGGCUGCGGUGUGGGCCGACUGCUGUAGCUACGAUUGGCCCCCUAGCCUGGGAACUUUCAUAGCAUAGGUGCAUCCCUAAAGAGACAAAAAAAAAAAAAAAAAAAAA